UUGCUUCGGCAGCAGAUACACUAAAACUGGAACGAUACAGAGAAGAUUAGCAUGACCCCUGUGCAAGGAUGACAUGCAGAUAUUUGAAGUAAAUGAAUUUAAU